UACGUAGGGUGCAAGCGUUGUCCGGAAUUAUUGGGCGUAAAGAGCUCGUAGGCGGUCUGUUGCGUCGGCUGUGAAAACCCGGGGCUCAACUCCGGGCCUGCAGCCGAUACGGGCAGACUAGAGUUCGGCAGGGGAGACUGGAAUUCCUGGUGUAGCGGUGAAAUGCGCAGAUAUCAGGAGGAACACCGGUGGCGAAGGCGGGUCUCUGGGCCGAUACUGACGCUGAGGAGCGAAAGCGUGGGGAGCGAGCAGG
rnacentral:rRNA from 1 species